rnacentral:lncRNA from 1 species
GGAACAGGCUAGUUAUUGCAAAGAAGAGGAGAAGGACUGUAACCUGAGAAUAAGCUGCUCCAGAAAAAAAAAAAAAAAAAAAAAAACUAUAAAGAAUUGAGCCACAGAGAUCAAUCUACUUAUCUCUAUAUGACCAAUUUAUCAGUUAAAUCAUUUUUCCUUUUACGAGCACUCAGUAAGGGGUUGAGGAAAUAAAGGUCCUCUCCAAAACCUUUACUCUAGGAGAGAAUUUCCCUCCUCACCAGAUAAACAGGAAGGUAAGGAAUGAAUAUUUCCUUUUUCAAACGAAGGCAUCACAACAGGGUGGAAUUGGAGUUGCUCUAUGAAAAAAAGCUGAAGUAUGCAUAGCCUGCCUGAUCACUGGUGUAGAGUCAAAGAAAUAAAGUUUGAACUUGAACAGCAAUGCUUCCUUGGAAUAUUCUCUCCAUGAGGAAGAGAGAGAGGAGAAAAGAAGAAAAGAAAAGAAAAGAAAAGAAAGAAAAGAAAAGAGAAAUGAAAAAAAAAAUAGGAAAACAGGUGAAGACAAUGAACAAAUGGCUCCACUUUUGUAACCAACAGAGAUUCCAGCAUGAUCACAAACAAAACAUCUGACAACUCAAAAAAGUAUCUCCAUGUGUUUCCACACAUGGACCAAUUUGGACUGGAAUGAAAAGUGUGAGCUACCACAAACAGUUCCUCUUCAGGUCAUAUAUGGUGGUCACCCCAACACUAUGCUCUUCUGUAAAACAUUUUACACUUACAGCCUUGUCCAGUUUCUCUCUCCAACAACUUGACUUCCUGUGCUAUAGAUAAGUAUCAAUGCCUCCUCUUUUUUAAAUCACUGUGGCCCAUAAAGAUAUUUCUAGGCCUCUUGACAUUUUCAACUCUAUUUUUACACCACAGACCUGAGAAUAAUGAAAAAAUGCAGUAAGUAAUGUACAUAGGUCUUUUCCUCAUGUGGGACAUUGCGGGUAACCUGACAUUGGUGAGACUGGACUGAACAUAUGCCAUUUUAUUACCCUCUGUGGCUGUGCCUGUGUGGGAGAAUCCGUAUGUGUGUGGGAAAGGUCUGUCACAUCUGAAGAGGGCUGGAAGGGUCUUUUCUCCUUUGAUGAUAAUGAAUAAACUGCAUGUUGUGCACCUGUGUAUUGACCAUGACCCAUCACGUGAGGUCAGCGUGGAAUUUUCUACUUGUGGUGUCAUGUUGGCACCCAAAAAUUUCAGAUUUUUGAGCAUUUUGAAUUUCAGAUUUUUGGAUUAGCUAUACUCAACCUGCAAUGUUUAUAUUUACAUAAUAUGAAUGAAGAGAGGCUUAAAAUAAGGUCAAAUAACUUUCUCAAAAUUGCAGAUGGUAAACACUGGGCCAUUUUAUUAAGAUUAUUGUGAAGCUUCCUGAUUGAUCUCAGUGAUCUCAAUCUCACUGUAUGUCAUACUGCUACCAGAAUAAUUUUUCAAUAUGUAAAUCUAAUUCUACUAGUUACCUGCCUAAAAUCUCGAGGUAGAUUCCCAUAUGAUUUGAAAGUAUUUUUUGACUUUUUCUUGCAUAUUGUUCUUUUUGUAUGGGCCACUGCAAUAAUUCUGGACUUUUUCCAAGCUAAAUUAUUUAUUGCUCCCAUUACUUGUUUACAUGUGCUCUUCCCGCUGCUAGAGCUUUCUCCAUUCUUUUAUUCAUAUGCUCAAUUACAAUUCUUUCUUUAAACAUGUUUCAUCACACCUAAGAAGUUGUUUCAAACAUCUCAAUCUGAUAUAAAAUGAACUCUGUAUCAAACUUUAUCAGCCCCUAUCCCAUGCUAUUAAAAUUAUUUCUUUCUUACCAGGCACACUUUUGAAACUACAAACUUUUGAAUACACACAUACACACACACACACACACACACACACACACCCCAUACAUACUCAAUAUACUUAUAUACUCAAUAUAUGUGUCUGUAUAUAUAUAUAUAAAAAUAAUAUAUAUGUAUGCAUUAAUCGUGCAGAUUUAUGUAGUUCUGCAUAAUUUUUUCAUUUUGUCAGUUCACAC